rnacentral:rRNA from 1 species
AUCCAGCUUGCUGGAUGCUGACGAGCGGCGGACGGGUGAGUAAUGCGUAGGAAUCUGCCCGAUAGUGGGGGAUAACCUGGGGAAACCCAGGCUAAUACCGCAUACGUCCUACGGGAGAAAGGGGGCUCCGGCUCCCGCUAUGGGAUGAGCCUAUGUCGGAUUAGCUAGUUGGUGAGGUAACGGCUCACCAAGGCGACGAUCCGUAGCUGGUCUGAGAGGAUGAUCAGCCACAUCGGGACUGAGACACGGCCCGAACUCCUACGGGAGGCAGCAGUGGGGAAUAUUGGACAAUGGGGGAAACCCUGAUCCAGCCAUGCCGCGUGUGUGAAGAAGGCCCUCGGGUUGUAAAGCACUUUCAGCGAGGAAGAACGCCUAGCGGUUAAUACCCGCUAGGAAAGACAUCACUCGCAGAAAAAGCACCGGCUAACUCCGUGCCAGCAGCCGCGGUAAUACGGAGGGUGCAAGCGUUAAUCGGAAUUACUGGGCGUAAAGCGCGCGUACGUGGCUUGAUAAGCCGGUUGUGAAAGCCCCGGGCUCAACCUGGGAACGGCAUCCGGAACUGUCAAGCUAGAGUGCACGAGAGGAAGGUAGAAUUCCCGGUGUAGCGGUGAAAUGCGUAGAGAUCGGGAGGAAUACCAGUGGCGAAGGCGGCCUUCUGGACUGACACUGACACUGAGGUGCGAAAGCGUGUGUAGCAAACAGGAUUAGAUACCCUGGUAGUCCACGCCGUAACGAUGUCGACCAGCCGUUGGGUGCCUAGCGCACUUUGUGGCGAAGUUAACGCGAUAAGUCGACCGCCUGGGGAGUACGGCCGCAAGGUUAAAACUCAAUGAAUUGACGGGGGCCCGCACAAGCGGUGGAGCAUGUGGUUUUAAUUCGAUGCAACGCGGAGAACCCUUAUCCUACUC